rnacentral:rRNA from 1 species
GUGAACGCUGGCGGCGUGCCUCAGACGUGCAAGUCGAACGAUUAAAGCUCUCUUCGGAGAGUGUAUAGAGUGGCGCACGGGUGAGUAACACGUAAGUAAUCUACCCUCGAGUGGGGAAUAACAAUCGGAAACGAUUGCUAAUACCGCAUAAUGCAGCGGCACCGCAAGGUGACAGUUGUUAAAGGAGUAAUUCGCUUGAGGAGGAGCUUGCGGCAGAUUAGCUUGUUGGUAAGGUAACGGCUUACCAAGGCUACGAUCUGUAACCGGUCUUAGAGGACGGUAGGUCACACUGACACUGAAUAACGGGUCAGACUCCUACGGGAGGCAGCAGUCGGGAAUUUUGGGCAAUGGGCGAAAGCCUGACCCAGCAACGCCGCGUGAAGGAUGAAGUAUUUCGGUAUGUAAACUUCGAAAGAAUAGGAAGAAUUAAUGACGGUACUAUUUAUAAGGUCCGGCUAACUACGU